rnacentral:rRNA from 2 species
AGUGAACGCUGGCGGCGUGCUUAACACAUGCAAGUCGAACGAGAACGGAUUAUAGCUUGCUAUAAUUGUCAGCUAAGUGGCGCACGGGUGAGUAAUGUAUAGGUAAUAUGCCUCUUACUAAGGGAUAACAAAUGGAAACGUUUGCUAAUACCUUAUACUCCUUAUUAACAGAAGUUAAUAAGGGAAAGAUUUAUUGGUAAGAGAUUAGCCUGUAUUGUAUCAGUUAGUUGGUGGGGUAAUGGCUUACCAAGACUAUGACACAUAACUGGUUUGAGAGGAUGAUCAGUCACACUGGAACUGAGACACGGUCCAGACUCCUACGGGAGGCAGCAGUGGGGAAUAUUGCACAAUGGACGAAAGUCUGAUGCAGCAACGCCGCGUGGAGGAUGACACAUUUCGGUGCGUAAACUCCUUUUAUAUGAGAAGAUAAUGACGGUAUUAUAUGAAUAAGCACCGGCUAACUCCGUG